GGGAGACGGCCUCCCGAAGUCGGCCUGCAGGGGCAGGCUUCAAACCGCCCGGUGCUGCUGCGUUCCAAAAGGCGUGGUGGUGAGCGACCGUGGAAAAGUCGUCCGAGAAGGACGGCAGGU
rnacentral:ncRNA from 1 species